AACGAACGCUGGCGGUAUGCCUAACACAUGCAAGUCGAACGAGACCUUCGGGUCUAGUGGCGCACGGGUGCGUAUCGCGUGGGAAUCUGCCCUUGGGUUCGGGAUAACAGUUGGAAACGACUGCUAAUACCGGAUGAUGACUUCGGUCCAAAGAUUUAUCGCCCAGGGAUGAGCCCGCGUAGGAUUAGCUAGUUGGUGAG
rnacentral:rRNA from 1 species